CAUCCUGCCCAGUGAAUUAAUUUUCAACGGCCGCGGUAUCCUGACCGUGCAAAGGUAGCAUAAUCAUUUGCCUUUUAAUUGAAGGCUAGUAUGAAAGGACACACAAGAAUAAUACUGUCUCAUUUGGGUUAUCUUAAAACUGAUUUUUAGGUGAAGAAGCCUAAAUUUCCAUAAAGGACAAGAAGACCCUAUAGAGCUUUAUCAGUAAAAGUUAUUAAACUCCCCUACUGAUUUGGUUGGGACAACCAAAAGACAAUCAUACCUCUUUUUUUAAAAAUAUAACUCACACCCAUAACUGAAUUAGAAUUUCAAGCUACCUUAGGGAUAACAGGCUAAUCCCACUAGAGAGACCACAUUGACAGUGGGGAUUGGCACCUCGAUGUUGGCUUAGUGUUACCAUUAGGCGCAGCCGCUUAAUUGA
rnacentral:rRNA from 1 species